CUGCUGUAUUAUUUGUGUAACUGUAUCUGUGCAUUUAUGUGCACAUGAUCACGCAGGAUCCAGCAAAAGAGUUAUUAAACUUUGGAGAUAAUAGACUGAGGAUGAUGAAGAGGAGGAGGGGGCAGAACCCCAUGGCCGUUUCUCUGCUGUUGGUGGAGGGAGCUACCUGACAUCCAGGACCAGCCCAGGGCCUGUAGACAGGCCUCUAACUGGGAGGAUAAUGGGAGAAGAACUUCUCACAGACCUCCUCCAUUUAAGUGGGAGAUUCUCUUAUGAAAUCACCUCCACACUAGCACCCUGUUUUCAGUGGCUAACUGACUGCUAUGCUGUGUCCUUGGGCAGGACAGCACUGAUGUCCUGGGUUAUGUUACUGGUUUGCUCUGGACCUACAAGUUCUGUGCUUUCUCCAGAGCAGUAAGUGACAUCCCAUUGUAGUUCACUUCUGUUCAUGUCUGAGUUGCCGUACUUGGAUGUAUUGUCACAACAGUCCCUCAAAGUCAAGUGUUAUGUAGUGAAAACUUGCAAUACAAUAUGACAUAAUAAUGCUCUUAGCACUUGAACCUCUUCAUCUUUUAACGUAUACUCCUCGAUCAUAUUGCUCUACGACACUCAGUAUGAGUUUGUACUGGGGGCAUGCCAUUGCUACUGGCAUCAACGUUCUGUGCAACCCUGCAUCUUGCUGUAUCCUUCUCCAGAUUGUGUUCCUGUCCUGGUGCAGGAAGAGUACCACUCCGCAGCAGCAUGGAAGGGGUUCUCCAGACACAGUCUCUUGGGGGGCUUCUCUCCCCCACUCAGCACAACCCUAGAGGGAAGACUAAGAAAAACACACAGUAAGCCCAGAGUCCUCUCUGGGUUAAGGAGAUGGACUCAAUGCCUGGCAGUGUUGUUUAUGUCAUUUUAUAGCAAGCAUUGGAAUGAAAGAGCAAAUAAAGAUCUUUAAGAUAGAGAAUGAAAGACUAAAUGGUAGAUGUUUGAGAACUCCUUUUUAAGUUGCUCUUUCAUUCCUGUCCUGGCUUUGCCUCAUACAGUAUUUGAUAAUCAUCUUUAAACACAGCUCUCUUUCCUCAUGUGCGUUGGGCUUGGAUGGCACUCCUCUCUGUGUUCCCUCCAAUAACAUAAAUCUCAACAAGAUGGCUGAUAUGGGAUAUUACAUGGAUGUCAACAUUCAACCAGACUCUGUCCAGGGAAGCAGGUGUGUCAGAGAGAUCCCCCUCAGGAGGACCGUGAGAAUGGACAAACCCUGCACCUUAGAAACAUUCUCUGACUCCUCAUCCCUCAACUCUGAUGUGGAGGUCAGAUCCCAACGGAUCCUUACAUCUUCCUCACAUUCUUUAUUAACAACCUUACUAUCGUGUAAAAUCAUAUUCUACAGCAAGAUUUUGCCUAAUAUGGUUCAGUUAUUCUGAGUUUAGUAUGUGAUCGUAAAAAAUGUGAACUGUUAAACCAUUUUCUGCCACAAGAUGGUGAUAGUAUGUGAAGGAUGGUUGAAAACGUGUUGCUUUGGAUUCAUCUGCACAUCAGGGAAACCUAUUAUUUUCAGUCUUAACACAUUGUAGGCCCUGCCUAUUACCAUGUAAGGAAGGUCAAAUCAAGACCUUUACCCACAAGGUCUUCUGAAGUGCUUUGCUUGCUAACUAAGUAUGUUUAUUUAACGUUACUUCUUUAGGCUCAGGCCUUUCCAUGUCGACUGAUUUUUAUAGUGCAGUGAAAGUCCACUCAAGGGCCAUUUCAUAUGAAUUCGAUCACUUUCUGACUGCACCCCUUUUGAUUUGAACGAAACCUUCCAUACAUGUUUGCAAUGGUAGGAGUGGUCAGAAAAGUGACCUUUUGGACCUGAAUGCCAAAACAUUCAGGAGAUAGAGGUGCUCAAAGUUGACGUAUUUUGCAUACCUACCAUUAGACGUCUGUGUCUUCAUCACUGAAAAAUAUAAUUCAAAUCAAAUCAAACUUUAUUUGUCACAUGCACCGAAUACAAUAAGUGUAGACCUUACCGUGAAAUGCUUACUUACAAGCCCUUAACAGUGCAGUUCA